rnacentral:rRNA from 1 species
ACCCAGACUCCUACGGGAGGCAGCAGUGGGGAAUAUUGCACAAUGGGGGAAACCCUGAUGCAGCAACGCCGCGUGAGUGAAGAAGUCAUUCGUGAUGUAAAGCUCUAUCAGCAGGGAAGAAAAUGACGGUACCCGACGAAGAAGCACCGGCUAAAUACGUGCCAGCAGCCGCGGUAAUACGUAUGGUGCGAGCGUUGUCCGGAUUUACUGGGCGUGAAGGGGGCGCAGGCGGCGCGCCAAGCCCGAUGUGAAAGCCCGGGGCUCAGCCCCGGGACUGCAUUGGGAACUGGCGUGCUGGAGUGCCGGAGGGGCAGGCGGAAUUCCUGGUGUAGCGGUGAAAUGCGUAGAUAUCAGGAGGAACACCGGUGGCGAAGGCGGCCUGCUGGACGGAUACUGACGCUGAGGCCCGAAAGCGUGGGGAGCGAACAGGAUUAGAUACCCGAGUACUC